rnacentral:rRNA from 1 species
GGCGAGUGAAGCGGGAUGAGCUCAAAUUUGUAAUCUGGUGGACUCAGUUCAUCCGAGUUGUAAUCUAUAGAAAAGUUUUCCGCGCCGGACCGUGUCUAAGUCCCUUGGAACAGGGUGUCAGAGAGGGUGAGAAUCCCGUGCUUGAUACGACCACCGGUGCUAUGUGAUACUUUUUCAACGAGUCGAGUUGUUUGGGAAUGCAGCUCAAAAUGGGUGGUAAAUUCCAUCUAAAGCUAAAUAUUGGCGAGAGACCGAUAGCGAACAAGUACCGUGAGGGAAAGAUGAAAAGCACUUUGGAAAGAGAGUUAAACAGUACGUGAAAUUGUUAAAAGGGAAACGAUUGAAGUCAGUCGUGCUCUCUGGGACUCAGCCGGUUCUUCCGGUGUAUUUCCCAGUGAGCGGGUCAACAUCAGUUUAGAUCGCUGGAUAAGGUCAUUAGGAAUGUGGCUCCCUCGGGAGUGUUAUAGCCUAGUGUCGCAUACAGUGGUUUAGACUGAGGAACGCAGCUCGCCUUUAUGGCCGGGGUUCGCCCACGUCCGAGCUUAGGAUGUUGACAUAAUGGCUUUAAACGACCCGUCUGAA